AUGGGGCCGGAGGCGGCCAGGGCAGGCCCGCUCCUUCCGACUCAGAACCCCCCCACCGGCCCCGCCCGCGACUGCCCCCGCGCCCCCUUCCCCCGGCGGCUGCCCCGCCCCCUCAGGCGCCUCCCGCCCCCGCGGCCCCCGCGGCCCCCGCGGUCCAGGGGAUCCAGGCCGAAGGGUCUCCCAAGAGCCCAGGCCCCGGCGGAAAUACCUGCUCCGCGCCCACUGUCAGGUUCGUGCGCACGGCGGGAUGCGGGGCGGCGAAGGUGGCUCCGAGUGCCCAGGGAGGCCCGCUCUCCGCUCCGGCCAGCCGGCAGCACCUCCAACCUCCGCAGCCGCAGAACCUCGGGGACCCGGAAGUGGUUCCAUUACUUCCGGGGAUGGGUUUUCGGGGCGAGGCGAUCCCGGAGGCAUGCCCGGAAGCGUAGUUUGCGCUUUGGACCCGCUGCUGGGGAGCUCCGGGGGGAGGGUGAAGACAGGCUCGCUGUCCUGGAUGUGACCAGUCCAAGAAACCUAAAGAGAAUGAACAUGUUCCUCCCCUUUUGGAAGAUAAAGACCAGAAGUACAAAAGUUUUGGGAAGACAACAAUGGAACCUGUCAACUAGACUAGGUGAUGCUGAAACUAAUGAAAGCUCUAUGGAAGAAGAUGAAACAUCCAGAGAAGAGAAAACCAAGCCAGAAAAAUACAAGUAUAAUGGAAGUGACACUAAUUGUACAGAGAAACCUUGAAAUGCACGUGCACAUGCCAUCCAGAGAAAUUCCCAGCUAAAUGGCGACAAACACAAAAGCCUGGACAAUUUGCUCCAGCAUAGUGCACAACCAGAUUCCUCAGGGGAAGGGGAAAAAAACCCACCAACAACCCAGGUUUCAAUGUAGUGGGAGCCCCCCAUAAGUUUAGAUCUGAUGCCUUAGGAGGAUUACUGGGAAACAUUCCCCCCACCCCAGCUAAUCUGUUGGUUGGUCGUAAGAGUGAUUGAGUACCUUUUUUUUUUUUUGGCCAUUAAAUAAAGGGAAUGUUUCAAAUUGAAUCCUGCUCA
rnacentral:lncRNA from 1 species